GCUUGAGCACGUAGGUGGGUUUGUAAGUCAGAUGUGAAAGCCUUCUGUUCAACGGAAGAAUUGCAUCUGAAACUGCGAGUCUUGAGUGUAGGAGGGGAGAAUGGAACUUCUGGUGGAGCGGUGAAAUGCGUAGAUAUCAGAAGGAACGCCGGCGGCGAAAGCGAUUCUCUGGCCUAUUACUGACACUCAGUGUGCGAAAGCUAGGGGAGCAAACGGGAUUAGAUACCCCGGUAGUCCUAGCCGUAAACGAUGGGCACUAAGUAGAGGGAAUUACCGAUGUUCUCUCUGCCGUAGCUAUCGCAUUAAGUGCCCCGCCUGGGGAGUACGGCCGCAAGGCUAAAACUCAAAAGAAUUGACGGGGGCUCGCACAAGCGGUGGAGCAUGUGGCUUAAUUCGAUGCAACGCGAAAAACCUUACCGGGGCUUGACAUGGUAGAAGUAGGAACCCGAAAGGGUAACGAGCGGUAUCCAGUCCGUAGCUAUCACAGGUGUUGCAUGGCUGUCGUCAGCUCGUGUCGUGAGACGUUGGGUUAAGUCCCCUAACGAGCGAAACCCUUGUUUUUAGUUACCAGCGGGUUGUGCCGGGUACUCUAGAAAGACUGCCGUCGUCAAGACGGAGGAAGGUGGGGAUGACGUCAAGUCAUCAUGGCCCUUAUGCCCCGGGCUGCACACGUGCUACAAUGGUCGGUACAAACGGAAGCGAAGCCGAGAGGUGAAGCGAAUCCAAGC
rnacentral:rRNA from 1 species